rnacentral:lncRNA from 1 species
UAACGAACAGUAUUGCUUUAAUCAUAAUAAGGGUUAUAAAAACGGUAAAACAAAUGAUGGUAAUUAUAUUUAUGGCAGCAGUUGUAGUAAUAGUGAUGAUAUCAGCAGUUAUUACACUGAUGACAAUAGUAAUGACAACAAUAGUGGCAUAAAUAGCGACAUAAAUAAUGAUAACAGUAGUGAUAACAGUGGUGAUAACAGUGGUGAUAACAGUAGUGACAACAGUAGUGACAACAGUAGUGACAACAGUAGUGACAACAGUUGUUAUAAUAAAGUAAAUGAUUCAUGUUUAUAUGGAUCUGACAUUUCACAUUCAGGUGAGUAUUACACAUGUACUCCUGCUCGUUGUGGUAAUUCUUUUUCACACAUUUCUAACAUAAACAAACAGCAAUAUGCCAAUAAAAUAAUAAACAAACAUGUAGACUAUCAAACAGACAAAUCAAUUAAAAAAAACUAUUAUAACAAAAACUAUUAUAACAAAAACUAUUAUAACAAAAAAAAAAAAAAAAAUUUAAAAUGGUUAAUUAAUUCAUUAAAUAAAACUUAUAACAAUGAACCGAAAUUUAUAAACAGUGUGACAAAUCCUAUAGAAUAUGAUAUAAUACAAUAUUCAAAUUUUAUGAAAAAUAAAUUAAGAAAUAUAGGUACAAUAAAUAUUAAUAACAAAUCAUUAAAUAAGUUAUUAAAUAAUGGUAUUUGUCGAUCUAAAAUAUAUUUUUUUUUUAGUAAUAAAAUAAAAAUAAAUAAAAUUGUGUUAGUUGACUUAUUAUACGAUUGUGUGACUCAUACUUCACCAACGUCUAGUGUUGUGUUUAUUUAUUUUAGUCAUGCUAAUGAUAUAUCAGAUAUUUAUAAUAUUAUAAAUGAAAAAAUAAAACAAAAUGGAAAAAGUAGAACAACCUACUAUGCACAGCAAACUUACCACGAAAACGAGUAUAAAAACCAAAACCAAUAUGAACAACAUGAACAAUAUAGUGGGAAAAAAACACAAAAUCAACUUAAUAAUAUUUUGCGUAAUUUUUAUAUAUUACGAGUUACAAGUAUUGAUGAUAUAAUUUCUUUUUUUCGAACAAAUAAAAAAUAAUAAUUUAAAAAAUAAGGAUAGUUAUAAUAUAAACAAACUCGCAAAUACAAAUAUCGAAAUAAACAACUUAGUAUCCAUAGGGGUAUAUAACUU